rnacentral:misc_RNA from 1 species
CACCACUCAAGCCUGGCUUGGUGUUGGGCGACGUCCCCUUCGGGGACGCGCCUCGAAACGCUCGGCGGCGUGGCACCGGCUUUAAGCGUAGCAGAAUCUUUCGCUUCAAAAGUCGGGGCCCCGUCUGCCGGAAGACCUACUCGCAA